rnacentral:rRNA from 1 species
CUUCCGUAGGGUGAACCUGCGGAAGGAUCAUUACCUAGAGUUGUAGGCUUUGCCUACCAUCUCUUACCCAUGUCUUUUGAGUACUUACGUUUCCUCGGUGGGUUCGCCCGCCGAUUGGACAAUUUAAACCAUUUGCAGUUGCAAUCAGCGUCUGAAAAACAUAAUAGUUACAACUUUCAACAACGGAUCUCUUGGUUCUGGCAUCGAUGAAGAACGCAGCGAAAUGCGAUAAGUAGUGUGAAUUGCAGAAUUCAGUGAAUCAUCGAAUCUUUGAACGCACAUUGCGCCCCUUGGUAUUCCAUGGGGCAUGCCUGUUCGAGCGUCAUUUGUACCUUCAAGCUUUGCUUGGUGUUGGGUGUUUGUCUCGCCUUUGCGUGUAGACUCGCCUUAAAACAAUUGGCAGCCGGCGUAUUGAUUUCGGAGCGCAGUACAUCUCGCGCUUUGCACUCAUAACGACGACGUCCAAAAGUACAUUUUUACACUCUUGACCUCGGAUCAGGUAGGGAUACCCGCUGAACUUAAGCAUAUCAAUAAGCCGGAGGAA